CCUACGGGUGGCUGCAGUGAGGAAUAUUGGUCAAUGGACGAGCGUCUGACCCAGCAACGCCGCGUGAAGGAAGAAGGCUUUCGGGUUGUAAACUUCUUUUGACAGGGAAGAGUAGAAGACGGUACCUGUCGAAUAAGCCACGGCUAACUACGUGCCAGCAGCCGCGGUAAUACGUAGGUGGCAAGCGUUGUCCGGAUUUACUGGGUGUAAAGGGCGUGUAGCCGGGUUGGCAAGUCAGAUGUGACAUCCUGCGGCUUAAUCGCAGAACUGCAUUUGAAACUGUUGAUCUUGAGGACUGGAGAGGCAGACGGAAUUCCUAGUGUAGCGGUGAAAUGCGUAGAUAUUAGGAGGAACACCAGUGGCGAAGGCGGUCUGCUGGACAGCAACGGACGGUGAGGCGCGAAAGCGUGGGGAGCAAACAGGAUUAGAUACCCCAGUAGUC
rnacentral:rRNA from 1 species